UAUAUAGACACAGCUGAUCAUAAUCUAUAUACAACCCACACACACAUGUCUACAGACCUCUAAGAGUAUCAACAGUGAAAUAUGACGGGACAGGGCCCCGCCGUACCCCUGGACAAACAUAUAUAUAUAUAUAUAUACAUCAGAAGAUCUGUACCAAAAGUCUAGGCUCCGAGACAAUGGAUCUCUCCCAGAUGGCUUGUUACACCUCGGAAAUUUUUUCGUACUUGUGUGAUGAGUAGAACAAUGAAGGACUUGAGUGUAUGGUGUUUUACUAAGUCGGGAAUGGAUAAUUUUGCAUUUUUGGAAAUAAUAAAGUUGCAGAAAAAAAUUUCACCCAGUGGUCGUAUAUGGCACUAUACGGCCCGUAAAGUGAUUUACGGACCGUAUAGUGCAAUCGUCUUUCAUUGCGUCAAAAAUCUCAAGUUUCUGUUAAGUGUUGAAAUGGUUAAAGACGACCCAGAAUACGGCUCGUAAACCAGGCCGUAAACUACCAUGUCCCUCAGCCAAGACUUCCUGUAAAUGGUGAGAAUGAUUAAAAACGACUUGGAGGACGGCCCGUAAACUGGUUUACGGACCGUAAACCUCAGUCGUAAAGUGCCAUGACACUCAGCCGAACCUUCUGUUCUUGAAUUGCUUAAACACGAUCAUGGAAGACGGACCGUAAACCACAAUACGGUCCGUAAACUGCAAUUUACGACCACUGUUCACCCGACGAGAAUUCAUUAAAGAUCAAAUUUUGGGAUUAUUAAAAGGGGCUUGGACUACAAUUCAGUCCAUUAUUCAUCAACACAACCCAAGAAGCCUCUAGAACAUUCCAAAUACUUCCUCCAUAAGAAUCCAAGAGAAUCUAAGUCAGGUAAUUCCCAAGAAGGUGAACUAGGGUUCAACCACUAUCCAAGGUAAGUUUCAUGAUCAUUCUAUGUUGUUUGAAGUAUUGAAAAGCUUAGACACUUGAAAUGUAGAAGAACAUAGAAAUGGACCAUUAUUGAGUGAGUAGUGCCAUAAAUGAAUGAUAGUGGGAUUGAAUUAUGAAUGUUGAAGUGUUGUAAAUACAAAUACGUUAUAAAUGAUGUUUAUAUCAUGAAACAAGCAUUAAACGCAUGAAAAUGCAAGGACGAGUCAUAAGGCUAAUUAUGAGGGAAAUUGGAGGAAAAUGGUGGAUUUUGCUAAAUGUACGUAAACGACGAUUGUUGACUUCGAUAUUGUGAGUAAUGUUAUGAAUGUUGGGAGUUAAUAUAAAACAUGGGAAAAAUAGUAUAAACAAGAGAAGCGUUGUCCGACUUCUCUUAGAAUUAGCGACGCGUUCUUGUAGUUAGUAUGCUAAUGUUGAUAUGAAUUCUUUAUGAAGGUAACGACGCGAUAUUGAAGGAGAACGAGUGAGCGAUAUCUUAGCUAAACGACCAAGGUAGACAGAGAGGAGAGCUUGGCCCAGAUCCUCAGUAGCAGUCAGCUGGUUGAAAGCACUCCAUUGUUCGGAGGUGCUUAGGACUAUCCUUUUGGUAUAUAUGUAUAUUUUGGGCACGACGGAGUCUUGUUCCGUCCAUGUAUAUACAGUAUGUUAGUAGAGGCUCGUAGAUACGCAGUGUGGGUUAGAUGGUCUCACAAGACGUUUUCAUAUACGUGUAUAUUAUUUUUAUGGCCGAAAGGCAAUUGUAUAUAAAGUAUUUAUGUUUGUUUAA